rnacentral:rRNA from 1 species
CAGCAGCCGCGGUAAUACGUAGGUCCCGAGCGUUGUCCGGAUUUAUUGGGCGUAAAGCGAGCGCAGGCGGUUUAAUAAGUCUGAAGUUAAAGGCAGUGGCUUAACCAUUGUUCGCUUUGGAAACUGUUAGACUUGAGUGCAGAAGGGGAGAGUGGAAUUCCAUGUGUAGCGGUGAAAUGCGUAGAAAUAUGGAGGAACACCGGUGGCGAAAGCGGCUCUCUGGUCUGUAACUGACGCUGAGGCUCGAAAGCGUGGGGAGCAAACAGGAUUAGAUACCCUGGUAGUCCACGCCGUAGACGAUGAGUGCUAGGUGUUAGGCCCUUUCCGGGGCUUAGUGCCGCAGCUAGCGCAUUAAGCACUCCGCCUGGGGAGU